GGAUUUAAGACACUGGAACAAGUUAUUUGCAAUGCUUCAAGAAUCUCCAGUCCUUUGAAAUAUGUGGCGGGGGUUUAACCGAUGUUGGUGUGAAAAAUAUCAAAGAUCUCCCCUCCUUAACGCUACUAAACGUUUCCCCAAACUGCAACCUCACAAACAAAUCCUUGGAGUUGAUUUCUGGACUGACUGCAUUGGUGUCGUUGAAUGUUUCGAACUCCAACAUAACUAAUGAUGGUUUGCCAUAUUUAAAGCCUCCAAAGAAUUUAUGGUCACUAUCGUUGGAGUCAUGCAAGGUAAGCGCCGCUGAAGAAGCUUCAGUCGGCCUUCCCC